GAAAUUUCGUCCUUCGGGAACAGGAUGGAGGAUUGGACUCGAACUCAGACUUAGGUUAGAAAAUUUAAGGUUAAUUUGACGUAAAUUCGACAACGCUUGGUCCUAGCCAAAUUUGAACUCUCCCCGGCGUCAAUUUGCGCGGCCUUAUAUACCCUUUUUGGACACAGCCUUCUUGGAUAUCCGAAUUUGAUCCUCUCAGUUUGACUCUGAGCUCUCUGAUUGGUUGAUUAAGUGGCGGGAAUUAUAAAUUACACAGAUUGAGUCGGAAACUUCCUCAAUAAGGCUAGAAUUA
rnacentral:misc_RNA from 1 species